rnacentral:rRNA from 1 species
UACAGAGGUCUCAAGCGUUGUUCGGAUUCAUUGGGCGUAAAGGGUGUGUAGGUGGCGCGCUAAGUCGGGUGUGAAAUUUCGGAGCUUAACUCCGAAACUGCAUUUGAUACUGGCGUGCUUGAGGACUGGAGAGGAGACUGGAAUUCAUGGUGUAGCAGUGAAAUGCGUAGAGAUCAUGAGGAAGACCAGUGGCGAAGGCGGGUCUCUGGACAGUUCCUGACACUGAGACACGAAGGCCAGUGGAGCAAACGGG